AUGGGCGACUGCUGUCAAGGCGGUGCCCAGUGGCCUAAACGGAGGCUCGGGACCCUCCCUUCAUCAGAGUUCAUCCAGUCCAGGAAGCAGUGGGUCUCUUGGGCCUGGGGCUUUGGGAGGCAGAGCCUGCAGCCUGGAGCCAGCAUCUUCCUGAAUAUUCCAUCCGAGCCUGGAUGGGGAGAUGUCUCACUUGCUUUUCCUCUGACCCAGCUGCGGUCCUCCGAGGGGGAGACCGAGAGCACGUUUGUCUUGGCGGUGGAGGAGCGUCAGUUCCGCAUCAGCACCAGGUUGGUGCCUGCUGAGGCCAGGCUCACCAACACCGUCAAGCUGGAACAGAACUUCCCCCAGCUCAGCGCCCUGCACCAGACGGUGCUGUGGGACGGCCAGGAGGUGGCCCUCAACGGGAGCCUCUCGGGGUCCUUCCCCGAGCCCACCGGGAGCCUCGGCCUGCAGGGUGAGUGUCCCAGAGGCCCUGGCAGGGGCCCAUUCACUCCCUCACUCAGUGAACCAUCACCGAGCUACUGCUUAUCCAGCUGCUGUUCCAGGCCCUGGGGAGCCAUCGGGAAAUAAGACGGCCUAGGUCCAUGCCCUCAGGGACACAGGCAGUGAGCAGGGAUGCGUAUGUGAACUAAAUAGUGAGAAGGGCUGUGAAGACGAGCAGGGUUUGAUCUGGGGGUGCCGGGCUCCUUUAGAUGGGGGGGUCUAGGAGGGCUUGUCUGAGGAGGUGACAUCCAAGCUGAGCCAUGAGUGACAAGAAGGAGCUGGCCAUGAUGAAGGUCUGGGGAGAGGCGUUGCAGGCGGGAGGAACCGCGGGUGCAAAGGCCCUGGGGUGGGUGGGAAUAAGCUUGUUGUGCUGGAGUGGCAGCAACAAGGCCAGCGUGGCUGGAGUGGCAUGAAAGGAGGAGCAGAGGAAAGGAGAUGAGGUGAUGAGGUUGGGGAUCCAGGUCACGCAGGGUCGCACCCCCAACCAGAAGCUGGGGUUCUACCCUGAGUGUGAUGAGACAGGAAGAAGGGGCAGGGUGGGGAAGGUGUGGCAACUCCCCUGGGGGUUUUGGAGCGGAGGCUGACCAACUGGUGGGUGGCAGCUGGGGGGAGUGCCAUCCCACAGGGCCUCCCACAGCAGCUCAGUGAUGGCACCUGUGACCCCCAAGGUGCUCCAGGAAACAGGCCCCCUGGAGGGGGCUGUGCAGCCUCACAGACUGUCCGUCUCUGUGUCCGGCCCCAGGGCAUGGCUUGCUGAGCGGCCCGAUGGAACUCUCCCAGGGUCACGGUGGCCGCACGUGUGCCCCGAGAGGCAGAGGAAAUGUAUGAUCCUCAGCACGCCAAGGCAGGGUGCACACUCAGGGGGCCUGUGGGGCUGUGCAGCCCAAGGACGCUGCUGUGAGGCUGCAGAGCGUGGAGUUGGCGGGUCAGAGGUGGCGGGAACGAGGGGUUCCGGCUCUGAGUGCAGGGCGCACGAAUGUGGUCAGUGUGCCCCGGACUGAUGACCGGACGAUGCAUCGAGGGCCAGUUAGUGCCACUGUCUCUGGGCACAGCCCCCAGGUGCCUGUAUAGCGACAGGUGGGUCUCC
rnacentral:lncRNA from 1 species